UGCAGUGCGUGGCGCAGAAAAAGAACGUCAGGGGUCGAUUACGAAUAUUAUGGCAGCCCUCUACUGAAGCUUCGAAACGAGCUUCAACCCCACAUCAGACCCCCAAACAGCGCCGUGUCAGAGCUUAGGAACAAUGGCUGAUUUGUAAGCGCUGUUACGGGAAUUGUUGCUGUUGAGCGACAGAAUGGAGCCGUCCAGGAAGAGAGGUCGUUCUGACAUGUGGGGAUACUUUAAAUUGAUCGCUCCUGAUAAGGUCCGAUGCUCGGUGUGUUCAGCUGAGCUGAAGUAUCAUUCGAAUACUUCCUCCAUGAUUAGGCACUUCACUAUCCAGCAUGGGGCUGUGGUCAAGCAAGUGAAGACAAACGAAGUCGACCAGAAGCCAGACCUAGAUGACACGCUUGUGAACAUGCUGGUGGAGCACUCGCAGCCUUUUCCCAAAGUGGCCACGUUGCUUUUGAGUGAAAGUACAGGGCAACCCAGGAAGAAAGGUCGUUCUGAUAUGUGGGAAUAUUUCAAAUUGAUCACCCCUGACAGGGUCCGGUGCUCGGUGUGUUCAGCUGAGCUGAAGUAUCAUGGGAAUACUUCCUCCAUGAUUAGGCACUUCACUAGCCAGCAUGGAGCUGUGGGCAAGCAAGUGAAGACAAACGAAGUCGACCAGAAGCCAGACCUAGAUGACACGCUUGUGAACAUGCUGGUGGAGCGCUCGCAGCCUUUUCCCAAAGUGGCCACGUUGCUUUUGAAUGAAAGUACAGAGCCACCCAGGAAGAAAGGUCGUUCUGAUAUGUGGGAAUAUUUCAAAUUGAUCACCCCUGACAGGGUAGGUGUGCUGGCUCUUCUCAAUAAUGGUGCUUGUAGAGCAGAUGCGCCCCUGUAUUUACAAGCGGGGCAGCAAACUUGUUUUCCUGUUCCCCUAUUUAUUACAGAAGCUAUGCCGGAGCAGUGGAGAACACAGUGCAGAAACAAUUGCCCUAUCCGAGUGCUUACUUUGCAAACCUCGGACAUAAUAAUUGCGCCUCACGGAGCAGAUUCCAGCUCCGGCUGUGAUAAUGAGACAGAGACCUGGCCGGAGCUACCUAAAUUGGCUGGCAUAUUUAUUUUCUCUCUGCUAAAGAAAACAUUACAAGACCCUUCAAUAAAAUGGCUCAUACGGUCACAUUUCAUCUGUAUUGUACAAGAAAUUUAAAGGAGAGACUGUAUGCUCAUGUAGAACGGGAAGCUCUCCUUCACACUUCAUCAGCAGACUUGGUUCUGUUGCCUUCACAUAGCGAACGCAUAUGUUUAGUAUCAACGGUCAAGACUAGUUCACUUUAAACAUCUUUAGCAAACAGGAAGUUCUUAUAAGUAAUUGCUAAAUUUUAGUCCCAUAGGUGAGGUGGUUCGAUUCCUCUCACUGCAUCCAAGUCAGUUUGUCUCAGCUGCAUCUUCUCGCUAGGACAGGUUUACAGCAGUGGGCAAGAAAGUUGAACUGAGCCCAAACUCAAUCAGCCUUUUCAAUGUUUUAACAGUUCUGCAUCUCUUUCACGCUCCAAAAACCAGAUGCUAUACAGUAGAAAACUUUCCAUUGCUGUUUCCUGUGUGGGCUGCAGGCGGCUACAUGUAACCAAUCUGCUACGACGCGACCUCCAGCAGCCACAUGUGGACUCUUUUGUUCCUCAACACCCGAGGACUGUUUUCUAAUUAAAUCUAGCCCUCAACACAUUAAAUGGGCUGUAAAAUCUAUAUCUAACAGACACAACAAAAAAAACUAUAGAGGUAUAGAUGUGCAGAGUAAGCCUCUUCGUCACAUGCAAAUCAGACAGUAUUAUAUUCCUUUUAUCUGGUCUCUUUUAUUUUUAGGUGCUCGGGGCUAACAAUGUGGUGGUUGGUGGAAGUGGAGGAGUUUCCUAGUAAGAGCAUUGUAACCCACUGGGGUAAAACUUUUUUGACUCAUAAUGUGUUUUUAUCUUGUGCAGGUCCGGUGCUCGGUGUGUUCAGCUGAGCUGAAGUAUAAUGGGAAUACUUCCUCCAUGAUUAGGCACUUCACUAGCCAGCAUGGAGGUGCGGCUAACCAGAGGAAGACAAGCCAAGACGACCGGAAGCGAGUGC